AGACUGAGAAAGAGUCUCACCACAUCCUGACAUGAGGAAAAAGACUUUAUUGAAGACUACAAUGAGAAAAACUAUCAGACAGCAGACGGCUGCAUUCAAGGUGAGCUCUGAACAUUUGAUCUGGAACAGGAAUUCAAUAACGGCAGCAUGAGCUUCAUUUCAGUCUGUAGCUGCUGAAUUCAUGGAUGAAUCAUCUGGCACUAGAGAAGAAGACCAUCAAACAUCCACGUCAGCUGAUGGAGGUCCAAGAGUCUCACCAAACAACCAACCUACAGAGUGAAGACCUCCAAUCUGAUUGGACGGCCUCCUAUUCAGCCACAUGUGUGAACAAAUGCCUCUAAGCUGAUUUGUUUUCUAAAAUAAAUCUAGUUUGAGUCCUAAUCUAUGCCUGUGUGUUUGCUUCUUUACACCGCUGUUAACAGUUUAGGCUGUUAGAUUGUUCCAGAUAAGACAAGUACAAGAUUCUUCAGAGCCGUUCUACCACGAGCCUGACAGGAAGAACUCCAACAGCUACUGAAUGUUCCUGUGGUCCCCUCAAGGCUACAGGAGGAGUCCUACGAGGACGAGCCGGUCCACCUGAUGGUGGCCAGUCGCUGCGGUUUAAAGCCAACACCGACUAUGUGGACUUCUACUGGACCACACGGAGGCCUUCAAACCGGACCAACAAGUUCACCGACUCCCCGACUCGUGGGUCUGAGGACGCUGCCGAGCCUCGGCCCAGCCGGCCUCCUGUCUGUGGGUGUUUGAGUGCUGAGAGGUUUGUGGAUGCAUGUGAACGUUCUGUGUUGAAACAGCAGCUUUGGACUCAGUAACGCCGGGAAAAACCAAGAGCUCCUUUAUUUGUCACUUCCACUAAAACUGAUGAAAAUAAGUUUGCCAGGGUUCUGACUGAUGACAGAUUAUUAAAUAAUGAAAAUAAUCGUUUAAAUAUUCCUUUAAACAAUCCUUUUAGG
ensembl:lncRNA